rnacentral:rRNA from 1 species
UACGUAGGUGGCGAGCGUUACUCGGAAUCACUGGGCAUAAAGGGCGUGUAGGCGGAUGCGUAAGUCCGGUGUAAAAGCCCCCGGCUCAACCGGGGAACGCCAUCGGAUACUGCGUGUCUAGAGUGCGGGAGGGGAGAGUGGAACUCCUGGUGGAGCGGUGAAAUGCGUAGAUAUCAGGAGGAACGCCGGUGGCGAAAGCGGCUCUCUGGCCCGUUACUGACGCUGAGGCGCGAAAGCUAGGGGAGCAAACGGG